UGGGGAAUAUUGCGCAAUGGGCGAAAGCCUGACGCAGCGACGCCGCGUGAGGGAUGAAGGCCUUCGGGUUGUAAACCUCUUUCAGCAGGGAAGAAGCGCAAGUGACGGUACCUGCAGAAGAAGCACCGGCUAACUACGUGCCAGCAGCCGCGGUAAUACGUAGGGUGCAAGCGUUGUCCGGAAUUAUUGGGCGUAAAGAGCUCGUAGGCGGUCUGUCGCGUCUGCUGUGAAAACCCAGGGCUUAACCCUGGGCCUGCAGUGGGUACGGGCAGACUGAAGUUCGGUAGGGGAGACUGGAAUUCCUGGUGUAGCGGUGAAAUGCGCAGAUAUCAGGAGGAACACCGGUGGCGAAGGCGGGUCUCUGGGCCGAUACUGACGCUGAGGAGCGAAAGCGUGGGGAGCGAAC
rnacentral:rRNA from 1 species